rnacentral:rRNA from 1 species
GAUGAACGCUAGCGGCAGGCCUAGUACAUGCAAGUCGAGGGGUAGAAGAGGCUUGCUUCUUUGAGACCGGCGCACGGGUGCGUAACGCGUAUGCAACCUACCUUCAUCUGGGGGAUAGCCCGGAGAAAUCCGGAUUAAUACCGCCUAAAAUAACAGGAUGGCAUUAUCCAAUGAUCAAACAUUUAUGGGAUGGAGAUGGGCAUGCGUGUCAUUAGCUAGUUGGCGGGGUAACGGCCCACCAAGGCGACGAUGACUAGGGGAUCUGAGAGGAUGGCCCCCCACACUGGUACUGAGACACGGACCAGACUCCUACGGGAGGCAGCAGUAAGGAAUAUUGGUCAAUGGAGGCAACUCUGAACCAGCCAUGCCGCGUGCAGGAAGACUGCCCUAUGGGUUGUAAACUGCUUUUAUUCGGGAAUAAACCUUAUUACGUGUAAUAAGCUGAAUGUACCGAAGGAAUAAGGAUCGGCUAACUCCGUGCCAGCCGCCGCCGUAA